rnacentral:tRNA from 1 species
GCCUGGGUGGCUCAGUCGGUUGAGCUUCCGACUUCAGCUCAGGUCAUGAUCUAGCGGCCCGUGAGUUCAAGCCCCGCAUCAGGCU